AUGCACGCUGGCGGCGUGCCUAAUACAUGCCAGUCGAGCGAACAGACGAGGAGCUUGCUCCUCUGACGUUAGCGGCGGACGGGUGAGUAACACGUGGAUAACCUACCUAUAAGACUGGGAUAACUUCGGGAAACCGGAGCUAAUACCGGAUAAUAUAUUGAACCGCAUGGUUCAAUAGUGAAAGACGGUUUUGCUGUCACUUAUAGAUGGAUCCGCGCCGCAUUAGCUAGUUGGUAAGGUAACGGCUUACCAAGGCAACGAUGCGUAGCCGACCUGAGAGGGUGAUCGGCCACACUGGAACUGAGACACGGUCCAGACUCCUACGGGAGGCAGCAGUAGGGAAUCUUCCGCAAUGGGCGAAAGCCUGACGGAGCAACGCCGCGUGAGUGAUGAAGGUCUUCGGAUCGUAAAACGCUGUUAUUAGGGAAGAACAAAUGUGUAAGUAACUAUGCACGUCUUGACGGUACCUAAUCAGAAAGCCACGGCUAACUACGU
rnacentral:rRNA from 1 species